AGUAUAAGCAAUUAUACGGCGAGACUGCGAAUGGCUCAUUAAAACAGUUAUAGUUUAUUUGCUAGACGUUUAUAUGGAUAACCGUAGUAAUUCUAGAGCUAAUACAUGCUGGUUACGCUGUGCGUAGUAUUUAUUAGAUAAAACCCAACGGGGGCGACCCUGUGGAGGAAUCAUAAUAACUUAGCGAACUCGACGUAGUGAAGCAUUCAAGUUUCUGCCCUAUCAGCUUUCGAUGGUAGUGUAUUGGACU
rnacentral:rRNA from 1 species